CUUCCCAGCCAGUCAGGAGUGCAUAGUGACUAGCAGACCACAAACAAGUCACAGAAACUUGAAAAGUGAGCUUAUACUCUCAUUGGGCCACAAGGGGCAUCUGAGAAGGAAUAAAACAAGAGGUCAAAGGAAAGACCCAAGGGGGGCUUCUGGAAUCCUUGACUGGAUAAGAGGCCCCAUUAGGGGCCAAACAGAGGAGAGUUAAGGCCGGUCAUUGUUCAACGCUAAAGGUCAAGUCACUCAGCUGUGCCGCUCUGGGCGCCAGGAGCCAGCGUCUUGUUCCAGCUGUCACCUUGACAGGUUAAAUGAAGGAAGGAUUCCCUCCGUGGCCGAGCCAAGCCGACUCAGCGAGUCGCCGCUGACGGGGGAGAAAAGCCGGGAUAUGUAACAUGUGGCUGCAGGAGAUUCCCAGGAGGAACAAUGUACAGGAGAGUCAUGCUGAGUGGCAAGGAAGUCGAAGCAGAAAUGGAUGCAGAUGAUGGAAAAAAAGAGAUGGUUUAAAGGGAAAGAAGAGGAAGACAACAAGGAGAGAGUAUAAUUGUGUAUGUGCGUGCACGUUCAGAGGAGACCCAGUGAAUCAAGGCUCGCUGCUCUUCUCCUGCAGUUGCACUUAGCUAAUGAAAAGCAUCGCUACGCUAGUUCGACCGCGACCCCACUUAGAGCCGAAGAGACGGGAGGGAGGAAGUCUCAAAGGCAAGCUCCUUUCCCUCUGCCCAGACACGGACUGAUAUGAACCCAGUAAAAAGCCUUUUUCCUUAUUUCUGUCUGACAUUAUAUCAGUUAGGUCGAUUUCUUCCGAUCUAUUUUCUGUUCGUUUUGAGCUGAACCAAUCUCCAUCCUCAGCUAAAGCGUGCCGUCAUUGGAGGAAGGCGUAAACAUGACAGUAAAUCAUCGUGAUCCAGAGGAGCAUCGCGCUGAGGUGCUCCGUCCCUCGUGCCCAACAAUAAUGUACAUCCAUGACCACAAGCUAACCCACAAUCAUUUUCAUUCCCAUAUUUAAACCUUUUCUGUUCCAAGACUUCCACAUAUGGUUCUGU